rnacentral:miRNA from 1 species
UGUUUGCAUAGUGUGUGUAUAUAAUGCAGUGUGUUUGUGUAGUGUGUUUAUAUAAUGCACACCACACAAACACACUGCAUUAUAUACACACACUAUACAAAC